AAACUAACAAGGAUUCCCCUAGUAGCGGCGAGCGAAGCGGGAAGAGCUCAAAUUUGUAAUCUGGCAGCAAUGCCCGAGUUGUAAUCUAUAGAGUCGUUUUCGGUGCCGGACCGCGUCCAAGUCCCUUGGAACAGGGUAUCAAAGAGGGUGAGAAUCCCGUGCUUGACGCGACGACCGGGGCUGUGUGAUACGUCUUCUACGAGUCGAGUUGUUUGGGAAUGCAGCUCUAAACGGGUGGUAAAUUCCAUCUAAAGCUAAAUAUUGGCGAGAGACCGAUAGCGAACAAGUACCGUGAGGGAAAGAUGAAAAGCACUUUGGAAAGAGAGUUAAACAGUACGUGAAAUUGUUGAAAGGGAAACGAUUGAAGUCAGUCGUGUUCAUUGGUUUCAGCGGGUUCUGCCCGUGUAUUACCUUUGAACGGGUCAACAUCGGUUAGAUUGGGUGCAGAAAGGCGUUGGGAAGGUAGCACCCUCGGGUGUGUUAUAGCCCGGCGUCAUAUACACUCGACCUGACCGAGGCUUGCGGUGUGCCUCUUUUGAGGCGGUCUCUUUGGACCCCCACACCUGGGAUGUUGGCAAAAUGGUAAACA
rnacentral:rRNA from 1 species